UACGGUCGUAUCACGCGAAACACCUGUUCCCGUACGAUCACCGAAAGUAAACAUUUUCGAGCCUGGUUUGUACAUAGAUUGGUGACCGCUUGGGAAUACCAAGGGCAGUAA